UGAUUAAUCUAAUGCUACACUGGACACGAUGAUGGUGAACAUCCUGUAGGGAUAUGCACAUCCCAGCAGUCAUCCCUGUGCUCAAUUAGCUUGCAGCAUUUUAAGUGUGUUACUCCCCGUCCACUCUGCGGCGGAUCCAAGAGAGAGCACCGGAGGGGAGAGCGAGGGGCGCUGGGACACAUAGUCACGUUGCUUCCACUCUGCACCUGCUGCAUCAUGGGUAACGUCGCUGGCAAGGACGACCAUGGCCCUACAGGUUCCCUACAUGAACGUACACACACACACUCUCUCUCAGUGUCACAUGUCAUUAUAUUAAACUCUGACAGUAACUCUGAUUAGAACCUUCUCUUCCUGUUUCCCAUGUUUCUACAAUAUUUCCUUUCAAGCUGUUUGUACUCCUACACAAUUUGUUCAUGAUCUUUUAUGCCUCCCCUUCUCGAUCUGUCU
ensembl:lncRNA